AAUGCAUGGACCCGUGGGGAACAUUCCUCAUUCAAACCGCUACAGACCAGAAUUGUAACCGGAAGCUGACUCAGUACGUUCUGAAGGCACGGUUCUAUCCACAGACGCCAAACAAGUGGCCAGAAUUACCACUCUACCCUGCUCUUGGCCUCCAGCAAGAAUGUACAACUUUCCCCUGAAGAAGCAUGUAUGUUUGGUCACCACUGACGUAAAUCUGGUCUGCACCUAUAGCUUGAUUCAUUGAGAUCCUUUCCUGUCCAAUUGCAUGAUCACCCCGGACGUAAAAAGACACUUUUUCAUCACCGGACCCCUAAAUAGAUGACCCGCCG
rnacentral:lncRNA from 1 species